UACGGGAGGCAGCAGUGGGGAAUAUUGCACAAUGGGCGCAAGCCUGAUGCAGCCAUGCCGCGUGUAUGAAAAAGGCCUUCGGGUCGUAAAGUACUUUCAGUCGUGAGGAAGGUGUUAAGGUUAAUAACCUUAGCAAUUGACGUUAGCGACAGAAGAAGCACCGGCUAACUCCGUGCCAGCAGCCGCGGUAAUACGGAGGGUGCGAGCGUUAAUCGGAAUUACUGGGCGUAAAGGGCACGCAGGCGGUUAAUUAAGUUGGAUGUGAAAUCCCCGGGCUUAACCUGGGAAUGGCAUUCAAGACUGGUUAGCUAGAGUCUUGUAGAGGGGGUAGAAUUCCAUGUGUAGCGGUGAAAUGCGUAGAGAUGUGGAGGAAUACCGGUGGCGAAGGCGGCCCCUGGACAAAGACUGACGCUCAUGUGCGAAAGCGUGGGGAGCAAACAGGGAUUAGAUACC
rnacentral:rRNA from 1 species